AACGAACGCUGGCGGCAUGCCUAACACAUGCAAGUCGAACGAGACCUUCGGGUCUAGUGGCGCACGGGUGCGUAACGCGUGGGAACCUGCCCUUAGGUUCGGAAUAACUCCCCGAAAGGGGUGCUAAUACCGGAUAAUGUCUUCGGACCAAAGAUUUAUCGCCUUUGGAUGGGCCCGCGUUGGAUUAGCUAGUUGGUAGGGUAAAAGCCUACCAAGGCGACGAUCCAUAGCUGGUCUGAGAGGAUGAUCAGCCACACUGGGACUGAGACACGGCCCAGACUCCUAGGGGGGGCAGCAGUGGGGAAUAUUGGACAAGGGGCGAAAGCCUGAUCCAGCAAUGCCGGGUGAGUGAUGAAGGCCUUGGGGUUGUAAAGCUCUUUUACCCGGGAUGAUAAUGACAGGACCGGGAGAAAAAGCCCCGGCUAACCCCGG
rnacentral:rRNA from 1 species